rnacentral:rRNA from 1 species
AAGUCAUCAUGGCCCUUACGGCCAGGGCUACACACGUGCUACAAUGGUCGGUACAAAGGGUUGCUACACAGCGAUGUGAUGCUAAUCUCAAAAAGCCGAUCGUAGUCCGGAUUGGAGUCUGCAACUCGACUCCAUGAAGUCGGAAUCGCUAGUAAUCGCGGAUCAGAAUGCCGCGGUGAAUACGUUCCCGGGCCUUGUACACACCGCCCGUCACACCAUGGGAGUUUGUUGCACCAGAAGUAGCUAGCCUAACUGCAAAGAGGGCG